UCCGGUUUAACACCGGCAGUCUCCAUAGAGUGCCCAACUAAAUGAUGGCAACUAGGGAUAAGGGUUGCGCUCGUUAAGGGACUUAACCCGACAUCUCACGAUACGAGCUGACGACAGCCAUGCAGCACCUGUCUCCCAGUCCCCGAAGGGAAAACCCUAUCUCUAGGGCUGUCUGGGGAUGUCAAACCCAGGUAAGGUUCUUCGCGUUGCAUCGAAUUAAACCACAUGCUCCACCGCUUGUGCGGGCCCCCGUCAAUUCCUUUGAGUUUUAAUCUUGCGACCGUACUUCCCAGGCGGGGUACUUAAUGCGUUAGCGUCGGCACUGCAGGGGUCAAUUCCUGCAACACCUAGUACCCAUCGUUUACGGCGUGGACUAC
rnacentral:misc_RNA from 1 species